CGUAUGGUGCCUUGUAAAAGAGGGUAAAAGGGAACGCAGUGCAAAUCUGCGCCAGCCCCCGCUACUGUAGAAGAAGGAAAAACGGAAUAUAUCCAUUGUAUUAUUACUAUUAUUAAUAUAUUUAUCUAUCCAUUAAGGAUCUUUAUGGUGAAGACUGAAAAUGGAAGAGCAUGAUGUAUCAGAGUAUAUCGAAGUAUAUCUUAAGAGUUUUAUAUAUAGAAUAAUAUGAGAAGGAACCGCAAUUAUAUUAUUUAAUAAUUGAAUGGGUUAAUCCAUUAAGUAUUAAAUAGAUAAUUACCUUUAGGCAGGAAACCUGCCAUAUGAGCU
rnacentral:ncRNA from 1 species